rnacentral:snoRNA from 1 species
AUGCAUACCAGUAGACCUUUUCUAGCUCUUCUAAUGGCCAGACAGGGGGGAUGGUAAAUGCAAGAGAAAAUCCGGAGUUGCUACCAGAUGCAAUCAGCCUACCAUGUGACUGAUUUGAACUGCAUCACUCCAACACAC